AACGUAGGGGGCGAGCGUUGUCCGGAAUUACUGGGCGUAAAGGGCGUGUAGGCGGCCAAGUAAGUCAGUCGUGAAACCCAGCGGCUUAACCGCUGGCUGGCGAUUGAAACUGCGUGGCUUGAGUGCAGUAGAGGGGAGUGGAAUUCCCAGUGUAGCGGUGAAAUGCGUAGAUAUUGGGAGGAACACCGGUGGCGAAAGCGGCUCCCUGGCCUGUAACUGACGCUGAGGCGCGAAAGCGUGGGUAGCAAAC
rnacentral:rRNA from 2 species